rnacentral:rRNA from 1 species
UACGUAGGGGGCAAGCGUUGUCCGGAUUUAUUGGGCGUAAAGAGCGUGUAGGCGGCCAGGUAGGUCUGGUGUGAAAACUCGAGGCUCAACCUCGAGAGGUCAUCGGAAACCAUCUGGCUAGAGUCCGGAAGAGGAGAGUGGAAUUCCCGGUGUAGCGGUGAAAUGCGCGGAUAUCGGGAAGAACACCUAUGGCGAAGGCAGCUCUCUGGGACGGUACUGACGCUGAGACGCGAAAGCGUGGGGAGCGAACAGG